rnacentral:SRP_RNA from 1 species
GCUGGGUGUGGUGGCUCACACCUGUAAUCCCAGCAUUUUGGGAGGCCGAGGCAGGUGGAUCACCUGAGGUCAGGAGUUCAAGACCAGCCUGGCCAACAUGGUGAAACCCUGUCUCUA